AACGAACGCUGGCGGCAUGCCUAACACAUGCAAGUCGAACGAGACCUUCGGGUCUAGUGGCGCACGGGUGCGUAACGCGUGGGAACCUGCCCUUAGGCUCGGAAUAACUCCCCGACAGGGGUGCUAAUCCCGGAUAAUGUCUUCGGACUAAAGAUUUAUCGCCUUUGGCUGGGCCCGAGUUGGAUUAGCUAGUUGGUAGGGUAAAAGCCUACCAAGGCGACGAUCCAUAGCUGGUCUGAGAGGUUGAUCAGCCACACUGGGACUGAGACACGGCCCAGACAGCUACGGGAGGCAGCAGUGGGGAAUAUGAGACAAUGGACGAGAGCCUAAGCCAGCAAUGCCGCGGGAGUUAUGAAGGCCUUAGGGUUGGAAAGCGCGGUUACCCGGUAUGAUAAUGACAGUACCGGGAGAAUAAGCUCCGGCUAACUCCGUG
rnacentral:rRNA from 1 species